rnacentral:lncRNA from 1 species
CAAAUUAAACCAAACUUGACCACAAUCAUCAUUGGGGUAUCUUGUUAAAAAAUUGUGUCCGGUGACCUGGCCAACCAACCAAGAUGGCCGCCAUGGCUAAAAAUAGAACAUAGGGGUAAAAUGCAGUUUUUGGCUUAUUACUCAAAAACCAAAGCAUUUAGAGCAGAUCUGACCUGGUAAAAUUGUUUAUCAGGUUAAGAUCUAUCUGCCCUGAAAUUUUGAGAUGAAUUGGACAACCUGUUGAUAGGUUGCUGCCCCUGAAUUGGUAAUUUUAAGGACAUUUUGCUGUUUUUGGUUAUUAUCUUGAAUAUUAUUAUAGAUAGAGAUAAACUGUAAACAGCAAAAAUGUUCAGCAAAGUAAGAUCUACAAAUAAGUCAACAAAACCAAAAUGGUCUGUUGAUUUCUUUAGGAGUUAUUGCCCUUUAUAGUCAAUUUUUAACCAUUUUUCGUAAAUCUUAGUUAUCUUUUACAAAAAUCCUCUCCUCUGAAACUACUGGGCCUUAAACCAAACUUGGCCACAAUUAUCAUUGGGGUAUCUAGUUUAAAAAUUGUGUCCCGUGACCUGGCCAACCUACCAAGAUGGCCGCCAUGGCU